AUUGAACGCUGGCGGCAGGCCUAACACAUGCAAGUCGAGCGAGCGGCGGACGGGUGUGUAAUGUCUGGGAAACAGCGCGUUGGGGGGGGGUAACUACUGGAAACGGUAGCUAAUACCGCAUACCAUCAGAUGUGCCCAGAUGGGAUUUGCUAGUAGGUGGGGUAACGGCUCACCGAGGCGCCGAUCCCUCUCUGGUCUGAGAGGAUGACCAGCCAAACUGGAACUGAGACACGGUCCAGACGCCUACGGGAGGCAGCAGUGGGGAAUAUUGCACAAUGGGCGCAAGCCUGAUGCAGCCAUGCCGCGUGUGUGAAGAAGGCCUUCGGGUUGUAAAGCACUUUCAGCGAGGAGGCGUUACCCGCAGAAGAAGCACCGGCUAACUCCGUGCCAGCAGCCGCGGUAAUAC
rnacentral:rRNA from 1 species